UACGGAGGGGGCGAGCGUUAUUCGGAAUUAUUGGGCGUAAAGCGCGUGUAGGCGGCUCGGUAAGUCUGCUGUGAAAGUCCAAGGCUCAACCUUGGAAAGCCGGUGGAUACUGUCGAGCUCGAGUCCGGAAGAGGCGAGUGGAAUUCCUGGUGUAGCGGUGAAAUGCGCAGAUAUCAGGAGGAACACCAAUGGCGAAGGCAGCUCGCUGGGACGGUACUGACGCUGAGACGCGAAAGCGUGGGGAGCAAACAGG
rnacentral:rRNA from 1 species